CACAGUGAACGCACAGUAAGGCUGACGAUGGUUAAUUUAUGCAGCCCUUUGUCCAUCUCAGCCAAUGCUCUAUCAAAAUCGCUGUUUGUUUUUUUGUCAUUUAUUUUGAAUUCCUGCCGAAAAAACGCAGCCUGCGGUCACCAUGCUGUGUGUGUGUGUGUGUGUGUGUGUGUGUGUAAGUAAUAAUUGCAUAUUAAUUUUGUGUUGUAUUGGAUUUAGGCUCUUCACCAAUCAGCUGAUGACCUUUUUUAAUAUGAAGGGGAAGGGCAAAAAGGAUAAAAUUGGAAUUGAAGACAAGAAAUUGUUUUCAGCAAUAAAAGCUGCUGUCAUGAAAUGGUACCCAGCUGCUACAGAGGCCCAAAUAAAGUCUGCUGCAGCCGA